GACGAACGCUGGCGGCGUGCUUAACACAUGCAAGUCGAACGGAAAGGCCCUGCUUUGGGGGGGUGCUCGAGGUGCGAACUGGUGAGUAACACGUGGGUAAGCUGUACUUGACUUUGGGGUAACUUCAGGAAACUGGGGCUAAUACCGGAUAGGAUUUCCUGCUGCAUGGUGGGGGUUGGUAAGUUUCGGCGGUUGGGGAUGGACUCGCGGCUUAUCGGCUUGUUGGUGGGGUAGUGGCUUACCAAGGCUUUGCCGGGUAGCCGGCCUGAGAGGGUAGCCGGCCCCACUGGGCCUGAGCUACGGCACAGCCUCGUACGGGACGCAGCGGAGGGGAAUAUUGCACAGUACGCGGAAGGCUGAUGCAGCAACGCCGCGUGCGGGAUGACGGGCUUCGGGUUGUAAACCGCUUUCGCCUGUGACGAAGCGUGAGUGACGGUAAUGGGUAAAGAAGCACCGGCUAACUACGUG
rnacentral:rRNA from 1 species